ACUGGUGAAGGUCAUCCAUAGACUGAAACAUGGUGGCCAAGAAAAGUUGAAUAGAGAAGUUAAGAAAGAGCAUGAUAUGGAACUAAUGGACCAGCAAGAAUGCAAAGUACCUUUCAGCACUGAAGUAAUUGGGCAGAACAGUGGAAGAGACCACAAUACAUGAUGACUUCAUUAAUUUUCAAAUUAAAGGGCAAGAUAAGGCGGCCACUAUCAUGGAGUUAUUAAGCUCAGUGUCUAUAUUUUAUUUCCAACUGUUCACCCAGCCAACCAACAGCAAACCUAGCCCUACGCUGGACAUUUAAAGAGGCUACACCAACAGAGAAGAAAGUGAGACAGGAAAAACAAGUCAGCCAAUAAAUAAUGCAGUAUUAAAACCAUUAUCAUGGUACGAUUGGAGCCUUAUCCUUCUGGGGAGUUC